AUCACAACUACAUAUAAUAAAUUGUUCACAAUAUUUAUGAAUUGAAGAAAUGACUAUAAUCAUGAUAAUAAUUGAAUCUCUAUCUCUUAACGACAAUUUUUCAAAACAUGGAUAUAACCAAUAUCUUUUAUCUCACUUUAAAAUGGUGUGGUAUACUGCUGUGAAUCAAUUAAUUCGUUGGCGAUUUGAUUUGUUGUUUUUUUAUACGCCCGUCAAAGUUUUGACGGGACGUAUUAUGGUAUACAAAUGUCCGGUGUCUGUCCGUCUGUCUGUCCGUCUGUCCGGCGUAAACAUGUUGCACCGUAAUUGGAGAAUGACCAAACCAAAUUUCAUGAAACUUAAUAUAGUUGUUUCUUAUGAUGGUCAAAUGAUCUGUAUACUUU
rnacentral:lncRNA from 1 species